rnacentral:rRNA from 1 species
UACAGGGGGUGCAAACGUUGCUCGGAAUUAUUGGGCGUAAAGCGCGCGUAGGCGGCUACUUAUGUCGGAUGUGAAAGCCCUUGGCUCAACUGAGGAAGUGCACCCGAAACUGAGUAGCUGGAGUACGAAAGAGGGUCGCGGAAUUCCCGGUGUAGAGGUGAAAUUCGUAGCUAUCGGGAGGAACACCGGUGGCGAAGGCGGCGACCUGGGUCGAUACUGACGCUGAGGCGCGAAAGCGUGGGGAGCAAACAGG